rnacentral:rRNA from 1 species
UACGGAGGAUCCAAGCGUUAUCCGGAUUUAUUGGGUUUUAAAGGGUGCGCAGGCGGAAGAUUAAGUCGGCGGUGAAAUUUUGCAGCUCAACUGUAAAAGUGCCAUCGAUACUGGUUUUCUUGAGUGUGGAUGAAGUAGGCGGAAUUUGUGGUGUAGCGGUGAAAUGUAUAGAUAUCACGAGGAACUCCGAUUGCGCAGGCAGCUUACUAAACUACUACUGACGCUCAGGCACGAAGGCGUGGGGAUCAAACAGGAUUAGAUACCCCCGUA